UACGUAGGCGGUUUAGUAAGUCAGGUGUGAAAUCCCGAGGCUCAACCUCGGAACUGCACUUGAUACUGCUAGACUGGAGUAAUGGAGAGGCAGGUGGAAUUCUCGGUGUAGCAGUGAAAUGCGUAGAGAUCGAGAGGAAGACCAAUGGCGAAGGCAGCCUGCUGGACAUUUACUGACGCUGAGGUACGAAGGCUAGGGUAGCGAAAG
rnacentral:rRNA from 1 species